GACGGAGGGAGCAAGCGUUGUCCGGAUUUACUGGGCGUAAAGCGCGCGUAGGCGGCCCGUUAAGUCGGCGGUGAAAGCGCUGGGCCCAACUCAGCAAGUGCCGUCGAUACUGGCGGGCUCGAGUCCGGGAGAGGGAAGCGGAAUUGCUGGUGUAGCGGUGGAAUGCGUAGAUAUCAGCAAGAACACCGGUGGCGAAGGCGGCUUCCUGGACCGGUACUGACGCUGAGGCGCGAAAGCUAGGGGAG
rnacentral:rRNA from 1 species